rnacentral:rRNA from 1 species
AUGGAGGUGGUCACGGGUGCCAUGGGCAACCUGCUCCCCAAGCUGGGCGAGCUGCUCAUGGAUGAAUACAACCUGCACAAGUGCGUCAAAAAAGAUGUUGAGUUCCUCCGGAAGGAGCUUGCGAGCAUGCACGCUGCGCUUAUCAAGGUUGGUGAGGUGCCAAGGGACCAGCUCGACAGGCAAGUAAAGCAUUGGGCCGACGAGGUCAGAGAGCUGGAGGAUGUCGUUGACAAGUUCCUCGUACGCGUCGAAGGUAUUCAGCAGCCUCACGACAACACCGGCAGAUUCAAGGAGCUCAAGAGCAAGAUGUUAGGCUUGUUCAAGAAAGGCAAGAAUCACCACCGGAUAGCUGACGCCAUAAAGGAAAUCAAGGAGCAACUCCAGGAGGUGGCUGCUAGGCGUGAAAGGAACAAGCUCGAUGGUAUUGCUCCUAAUCCUGGCGAAGCAGUUGUCAUCGAUCCUUGUCUCCGUGCUCUGUACAUAGAAGUGACAGAGCUCGUCGGCAUCUAUGGGAAGAGGGAUCAGGACCUCAUGAGGCGUCUCUCCUUGGAGACCAACGAUGAUGCCUCUAACAAGAGACUGAAAAAGGUCUCUAUCGUUGGAUUUGGAGGGUUGGGCAAGACCACUCUUGCCAGAGCAGUAUACCAAAAGAUUAAAGGUGAUUUUGAUUGUGGGGCAUUUAUCUCCGUCGGUCGGAACCCUGACAUCAAGAAGGUUUUCAGGGAUAUCCUGAUUGAUCUCGGCAACUCUCACUCAGAUCUUGUGAUACUGGAUGCAAAUCAGCUUAUUAAAAAGCUUCAUGAAUUCCUAGAGAACAAGAGGUACCUCGUCAUAAUUGAUGAUAUAUGGGAUGAAAAAUUGUGGAGCUACAUCAACCUUGCUUUCUCUAAUAGUAACAAUCUAGGCAGUCGGCUAAUCACCACAACCCGCAAUCUCGAUGUCUCCAAAUCAUGUUGCUCAUCGGCUGAUGAUUCAAUUUAUCAUAUGAAACCUCUUUCUAAAGAUGACUCCAGAAGGCUCUUCUAUAAAAGAGUAUUUGCCGACGAGAAUGGAUGUCCAAAUGAAUUUGAACAAGUGUCUAAAGAUAUUUUGAUGAAAUGUGGUGGGGUACCACUAGCCAUCAUUACAAUAGCUAGUGCUUUGGAGGUGAAACUAAAGAGUGAAUGGGAUAUUCUGCUCCAAUCCCUUGGCUCUGGACUAACAGAAGAUAACAGUUUAGAGGAGAUGCGGAGAAUACAAUCUUUUAGCUAUUAUGAUCUACCUUGUCAUCUGAGAACUUGUCUAUUGUACCUAUGUAUAUAUCCAGAAGAUAGCGAGAUUGAUAGAGAUAGACUGAUAUGGAAGUGGGUGGCCGAAGGAUUUGUCCACCAUGGAGAUCAAGGGACUAGCCUGUUUUUGCUCGGAUUAAACUACUUCAACCAGCUCAUUAAUAGAAGUAUGAUCCAGCCAAUAUAUGAUGAUCUAGGUCAGGUACAUGCUUGCCGUGUACAUGAUAUGGUUCUUGAUCUUAUCCGCAACUUGUCACAAGCAAAGUUUGUUAAUGUAUUGGAUGGUACCGGGGAUAGCAUGUCUUUUCAAGGCAAUAAUGUUUGUCGUUUGUAUUUUCAAGAUAGAAAUAAAGAUCAUGAAGGCACACCUCUCAGAAAUUUCACGGAUUAA